rfam:Asian citrus Psyllid, Diaphorina citri - Florida Strain, whole genome shotgun sequence.
GUCUAGUUUGCUUAGAGGUUAGCGCGUCUGCCUUGUAUGCACUAGGUUGCGGGUUCGAUUCCCGCCCGGGGCG